UACUCCAUUUUAGUGACUGUGCUGACAAUCCUGAUAUCAGGUCAACUAUAUUCCCAUUCUGGAAAUAGUGCCUUCAUUCAGUGAGAGUAGCAGGCAGAAGAACACUUGUCCUGCUUUCUGCUUAGUUUUACCCUGGGCUCUCUUUUUGA